rnacentral:rRNA from 1 species
UCCUGCUGACGAGCGGCGGACGGGUGAGUAACGCGUAGGAAUCUGCCUAGUAGAGGGGGACAACAUGUGGAAACGCAUGCUAAUACCGCAUACGCCCUGAGGGGGAAAGAAGGGGAUCACUUGUGACCUUUCGCUAUUAGAUGAGCCUGCGUGAGAUUAGCUAGUUGGUAGGGUAAAGGCCUACCAAGGCGACGAUCUCUAACUGGUCUGAGAGGAUGACCAGUCACACUGGGACUGAGACACGGCCCAGACUCCUACGGGAGGCAGCAGUGGGGAAUAUUGGACAAUGGGCGCAAGCCUGAUCCAGCCAUGCCGCGUGUGUGAAGAAGGCCUUAGGGUUGUAAAGCACUUUCAGGAGUGAGGAAGGGUGUUUGGUUAAUACCCAAACAUUUUGACGUUAGCUCCAGAAGAAGCACCGGCUAACUCUGUGCCAGCAGCCGCGGUAAUACAGAGGGUGCAAGCGUUAAUCGGAAUUACUGGGCGUAAAGCGCGCGUAGGUGGUUUGUUAAGUCUGAUGUGAAAUCCCAGGGCUCAACCUUGGAAUGGCACCAGAUACUGGCAGGCUAGAGUAUGGUAGAGGGGUGUGGAAUUUCCUGUGUAGCGGUGAAAUGCGUAGAUAUAGGAAGGAACAUCAGUGGCGAAGGUAGCCA